ACUGCCACAACAGACAAUGCUCACAGACAGACUGACCAACAGAUGGACAGACAGACAGAGGACAACACCUAUACUCUGUAGGCUACUGCAGAGAGAGAGAGAUUGCCACAACAGGUUUCCAUAGACUGUUGUAGAGAGAGAGUGAGAUGGAGAGAUGAGAGAAUUGAAGAUCAGAUAAUGAAAGAAAGGUGACCAGUGAAUGGAGAAAAGAGAGAGAAGAUAAAUAAUAACAGAAAAAAUAUGCAAAACAAGACUAAGACAAAAAACGACAUUGUGAAGAGAGCUAGACAGAGAGAGAAAGAGAGAGAGACAGAGAGAGACAGAGAGGAGCCAGAGCACGUUGUUCGGAGUGUUCUGAGCAGACACUGUCUGGACCAUGUGCACAGGCACCAACUUGCCUUCGCGGAAGGCAUUGCGAAGCGCGGCACUUCCGACCCAUUGCCUUGGUGUGCGGUCCAUAAAAGAAAACCCUCGAGGCGCAUGGCAGGCAGGCAGGCUAAGGAUAUGGACGGGGAAUCGACACGAGGAGGAGGAGAUGAGAGGAUAUUGAUCAGCUCCAACUCGACGUGGACCGUUUAACCCAUGCAGUCACAAAAGGUAUGAAGCUGCCUGGACCGGAUGAUGACGCUGCUGUACAGACUGGCUGCACCUUGCAGAAAAACUCCCUUUGUAGAUGAGUGGCCCAGUCAGGAUUACUUACUGCAGGGCUCUUAACACGCAGUACUCCCAUCUCAGAGGCUAAAAACAGACACGGAGACACCCUUAACAAGGCCUUAUUAGAUUACUAGUGAUCCUCUGCUGAAUGUGUUUAAAUAAGUCACAAGCUCCCAGGUAUUCAGUGCUAACCCAGUGACGGCAGUCUUCGCUUCGACUGUGCUAAGCAAGGUUGGCCAUUUUGGGUCGGUGUCUGUCAGCUGCUCAGUAGUCAGUGUAGAUCCUGUGGGGCAGUCAGCAGCUACAUCUGGCUACUGGGUCGCUGAUGGCUGCCAUGUUCUUCGUGGAUUAGUAUCGCUUGUAUUCUAAAUUUACAUACAGCCAUCUUUAGUUCAGUUUGCUGGUAGGUUGUUGACCUGGCAUACAGUGUAGAAUUCUGUGUGGUUGAUUCUACAGCUACAUUGUCUGCUGGGUUUUAGGCCCUACUCAAAUAAUCACUGUCACUUAAUCUCUCGGUAAGUAUUUUCUCCCAAUUCAGAGACCGUGUGACAAUGAUUGUGUAUCAUCAAAUAAAAUACAAGUUCUAGAAGCAGAGUUGUGAUUCCUAAUGUGUUGAGGUCAGCUGUAUUUGGAUUGGGCCCU